GCCAGACUCCUACGGGAGGCAGCAGUGAGGAAUAUUGGUCAAUGGCCGAGAGGCUGAACCAGCCAAGUCGCGUGAGGGAUGACGGCCCUACGGGUUGUAAACCUCUUUUGCCGGGGAGCAAAGAGCGGGACGCGUCCCGCCUCGAGAGUACCCGGAGAAAAAGCAUCGGCUAACUCCGUGCCGGCAGCCGCGGUAAUACGGAGGAUGCGAGCGUUAUCCGGAUUUAUUGGGUGUAAAGGGUGCGUAGAUGGAUAAACAAGUUGGUUGUGAAAUCCCUCGGCUUAACUGAGGAAUUGCAACCAAAACUGUAGAUCUUGAGUACUGGAGGGGAAAGCGGAAUUCCUAGUGUAGCGGUGAAAUGCGUAGAUAUUAGGAAGAACACCGGUGGCGAAGGCGGCUUUCUGGACAGAAACUGACAUUGAGGCACGAAAGUGUGGGGAGCAAACAGGAUUAGAUACCCGGGUAA
rnacentral:rRNA from 1 species